GAUGAACGCUAGCGAUAGGCUUAACACAUGCAAGUCGAGGGGUAACGUGUUUGCAGCUUGCUUCCGAUGACGACGACCGGCGGAUGGGUUCGUAACGCGUAUGCAACUUGCCUCACAGUGGAGAAUAACCCGGAGAAAUCCGGACUCAUACUCCAUACACUCUUAAGUACGCCUGUACAUGAGAGGAAAGAUUUAUCGCUGUGAGAUAGGCAUGCGUCCUAUUAGGUAGUUGGUGAGGUAACGGCUCACCAAGCCGACGAUAGGUAGGGGUGCUGCGAGGCAGAUCCCCCACAGUGGGACUGAGACACGGCCCAAACUCCGACGGGAGGCAGCAGUGAGGAAGAUUGGUCAAUGGAGGAAACUCUGAACCAGGCAAGUCGCGUGAAGGAAGAAUGUCCUAAGGAUUGUAAACUUCUUUAGCGAGCGAGUAAGGACUUCCACGUGAUGGGAGGUUGAAAGUAGCUCGAGAAUAAGUAUCGGCUAACUCCGUG
rnacentral:rRNA from 1 species